rnacentral:tmRNA from 1 species
GGGGGCGAAAGGCAUCGACCCGGGUAAGCCUGAUGAGAGUGGCAUGCUGAGGUUGUCAGGAGGCCUCGUAAAACACCUGGCAAAAAUUAAUUGCUGACGAACAGUUAGCAUUAGCUGCUUAACGUAGCUACGUCUUUCAAACUUUACCUGCGGGAUUGAAAAGACGCCGAUAGCAGGAGUAGUCGGGUUUUCGUGUUAGCUUUUUGGGGGACCUGGCGAAGACUUUAAAAAGCGUAGCCGCUUAUAUAUCUCGCCUACUCAGAGAUGUAAGCGGCGAAAAAUAAAAGGUAGGAUAUGCAUGUAGAGGCUUUCACUGGGAUAUCCGGGGACGCGGGUCCGAUUCCCGCCGCCUCCACCA